UGAGGAAUCUUGUACAAUGGGCGAAAGCCUGAUACAGCGACGCCGCGUGGAGGAUGAAGGCCUUCGGGUUGUAAACUCCUGUCAAGCGGGAAGAAAGUCUUGUCUCUAAUACAGACGGGAUAUGACGGUACCGCUAAAGGAAGCACCGGCUAACUUCGUGCCAGCAGCCGCGGUAAUACGAAGGGUGCAAGCGUUAUUCGGAUUUACUGGGCGUAAAGGGUGUGUAGGUGGUGUGAUAAGUCUAUCGUUAAAGCUCCCGGCCUAACCGGGAAAAUGCGGUGGAAACUAUUGCGCUAGAGGGUGAGAGAGAGAAGUGGAAUUCUCGGAGUAGCGGUAAAAUGCGUAGAUAUCGAGAGGAACACCGAUGGCGAAGGCAGCUUCUUGGCUCAUUCCUGACACUGAAACACGAAAGCGUGGGGAGCAAACAGGAUUAGAUACCCCCGUAGUCC
rnacentral:rRNA from 1 species